rnacentral:sRNA from 1 species
GUGAGGGAGGGAUAGCAGUGGAAAUCCUUUGAGAAACGUAGUGGAGCAAAGAUUGCAACGAAUAGCCCGCCUCAUU